rnacentral:rRNA from 1 species
AUUGAACGCUGGCGGCAGGCCUAACACAUGCAAGUCGAGCGGAUGAAGGGAGCUUGCUCCUGGAUUCAGCGGCGGACGGGUGAGUAAUGCCUAGGAAUCUGCCUGGUAGUGGGGGAUAACGUCCGGAAACGGGCGCUAAUACCGCAUACGUCCUGAGGGAGAAAGUGGGGGAUCUUCGGACCUCACGCUAUCAGAUGAGCCUAGGUCGGAUUAGCUAGUUGGUGGGGUAAAGGCCUACCAAGGCGACGAUCCGUAACUGGUCUGAGAGGAUGAUCAGUCACACUGGAACUUGGACACGGUCCAGACUCCUACGGGAGGCAGCAGUGGGGAAUAUUGGACAAUGGGCGAAAGCCUGAUCCAGCCAUGCCGCGUGUGUGAAGAAGGUCUUCGGAUUGUAAAGCACUUUAAGUUGUGAGGAAGGGCAGUAAGUUAAUACCUUGCUGUUUUGACGUUACCAACAGAAUAAGCACCGGCUAACUUCGUG